UUGCAGGACAAAACGUAUGACGUUUUGAACAGCGCCUGCGCUGGCCCCAACGGGGCGAGGUCCAGGGAAGGACCGAGUAAUGCAGCCAA
rnacentral:ncRNA from 1 species